AUUGAACGCUGGCGGCAGGCCUAACACAUGCAAGUCGAGCGCGAAAGUUCUUCGGAAUGAGUAAAGCGGCGGACGGGUGAGUAAUACAUGGGAAUCUGCCUGGUAGUGGGGGACAACGUUUCGAAGGGAACGCUAAUACCGCAUACGCCCUACGGGGAAAGGGGGGAUCUUCGGACCUCUCGCUAUCAGAUGAGCCCAUG
rnacentral:rRNA from 1 species